UGGCCCAGAUGUUUACCGUGAAAAAAUUAGAGUGUUCAAAGCAGGCAGAUCCAAUUUUCUGCCACCGAAUACAUUAGCAUGGGAUAAUGGAAUAGGACCCUGUCCUCCUAUUUUCAGUUGGUUUUGGCAGCGCGAGGACUAGGGUAAUGAUUAAUAGGGAUAGUUGGGGGCAUUAAUAUUUAAUUGUCAGAGGUGAAAUUCUUGGAUUUAUGAAAGAUUAACUUCUGCGAAAGCAUCUGCCAAGGAUGUUUUCAUUAAUCAAGAACGAAAGUUAGGGGAUCGAAGACGAUCAGAUACCGUCGUAGUCUUAACCAUAAACGAUGCCGACCAGCGAUUAGGAGACGUUGAAUACAAAACACCACCAUCGGCGCGGUCGUCCUGGCGUCUCGGUUCGGCC
rnacentral:rRNA from 1 species